GAUGAACGCUGGCGGCGUGCCUAAUACAUGCAAGCCGAGCGAACAGACGAGGAGCUUGCUCCUCUGACGUUAGCGGCGGACGGGUGAGUAACACGUGGAUAACCUACCUAUAAGACUGGGAUAACUUCGGGAAACCGGAGCUAAUACCGGAUAAUAUAUUGAACCGCAUGGUUCAAUAGUGAAAGACGGUUUUGCUGUCACUUAUAGAUGGAUCCGCGCCGCAUUAGCUAGUUGGUAAGGUAACGGCUUACCAAGGCAACGAUGCGUAGCCGACCUGAGAGGGUGAUCGGCCACACCGGAACUGAGACAAGGUCCAGACUCCUAAGGGAGGCCGCAGUAGGGAAUCUUCCGCAAUGGGCGAAAGCCUGACGGAGCAACGCCGCGUGAGUGAUGAAGGUCUUCGGAUCGUAAAACUCUGUUAUUAGGGAAGAACAAAUGUGUAAGUAACUAUGCACGUCUUGACGGUACCUAAUCAGAAAGCCACGGCUAACUACGUG
rnacentral:rRNA from 1 species